rnacentral:ncRNA from 2 species
AACUUAUCUAGAGAGACUGAGGGAAUUGGCCCGAUGAUGUCCGGCAACCUGCAUAGCAUGCAAGGUGCUAACUCCAACAAAAUGUGAUGCAUUUUGGGAGAUAAGGU